GAUGAACGCUGGCGGCGUGCCUAAUACAUGCAAGUCGAGCGAACAGACGAGGAGCUUGCUCCUCUGACGUUAGCGGCGGACGGGUGAGUAACACGUGGAUAACCUACCUAUAAGACUGGGAUAACUUCGGGAAACCGGAGCUAAUACCGGAUAAUAUAUUGAACCGCAUGGUUCAAUAGUGAAAGACGGUUUUGCUGUCACUUAUAGAUGGAUCCGCGCCGCAUUAGCUAGUUGGUACGGUAACGGCUUACCAAGGCAACGAUGCGUAGCCGACCUGAGAGGGUGAUCGGCCACCCUGGAACUUAGACACGGUCCAGACUCCUACGGGAGGCAGCAGUAGGGAAUCUUCCGCAAUGGGCGAAAGCCUGACGGAGCAACGCCGCGUGAGUGAUGAAGGUCUUCGGAUCGUAAAACUCUGUUAUUAGGGAAGAACAAAUGUGUAAGUAACUAUGCACGUCUUGACGGUACCUAAUCAGAAAGCCACGGCUAACUACGUG
rnacentral:rRNA from 1 species